UGCCCAGCAAAUCUUAUCCCUAUCUCCUCGCGGUACUGGCCGGGGUACGAGUAACCUUGGGGAAGAUCGGGUAACCAACCCCCGGUGGGAACUUUGGUCGUUUUCUGACAGGGAAGG
rnacentral:ribozyme from 1 species